GUUGAUUACAUUUGUAGCUCAUUUCUCCUUUAAAGAACUGCAUGCAGGAUAGGAAAGGAGCAUCUAGCCUCACAACAAACCAUGAAAUGGGCAGGAUUGAGAAUGACUUGCCUAAGGGUACCUGGUAAGCUUUAUAGUGUUGACCUGGGCCUCUCCAUCCAAAAUCCAGAAACCAAGUUACACAAUCAGAAGCAGUAAGAAGUAAAAACAGACAGUACAAGGCCAUUUCAGGUUGUGGGAAUGAAAGUUUUGUAUUUGAACACUCUUGUAUCAGAGGAGAAAAAUCAAUACACACAAAAAUUCAGAAGGGGAAAAAGAUUCAACUAACAUAGUUUUCUUUCUGAUGUCUGGUUGUCUCUUCAUGCAGGGGUGUGGUGUGAUUUGGUUACGGUGGUGGGUGGCAUGCAGGAAAGCUGAAGCACUGCCUCUGAGUGGGCUCCUGUGAGAUGAGGUGGGACUGGGAAGUGUUGAAAAAUGAACUGGCAUGAACCAUCAAUCAACCAUUCCAGUAAAUCUAAACUCAGCCUUCUGGGAGCAGCAGCUCUAAUCCCCCAAGGAAACAGAAGUGUUCUGAGAGGAAGAACUAAUCUGAGAACUUGAAUAAGUUUCCUAUGCAUGCCAGCUCACCUCUAAACCUUGCUAAGUCUCCUCCUUAAUGUAAGAAGUGCACUUCUAAAUUAAUUCUAAAUCCAUUGGUAUUAUUCCCAUAAAACAAUUCUGCAUAUACAGUAUUGUCACAGAAUGGUAAAAAAAAUGUAUGUGGGCUGAAGCAAUAAUGUUAUAUUGAUGUUGCCACUUUACAGGUGGUGAAAUGUAUAAAUAAUGUGUAAAAAGUUUAGUUUGAACUUUUUCCUAUUUUUCCCUUCAUCAGGGUGAAAUUGCAUGGACUAUGACUAGAAAUAUUUGCAAUACAUAACGUGGUUCACUAAAGGGAGAUGGUAGUGGACUGCGGCUCCCAGCAUUCUUGACGAGGGGAUAUGCUGGCUAGGCCUGAGGGCAGUUGCCGUGCAGGGCCUCCGUUUGCCUUCCUCUGAUACCAACAGUGACCUCACAAUAAGUCAGGUUUUCUGAAAACUACAGUAGGUGGAGAAAUUUUCACAGGGCAGUAUAAUGUUGGAUGCACUUCAUCAGUGUGAUGUCUUGGGGCCCCCUAUCCUCGAUAUAUCAUUGUUCCGGCAUGGCUGACAGUGGAAUCUAAUCACUCCAAGAUUAAAAUAUGGAAAUAUCUAAGCAGGCAUGAGUACCUCUCUAAAGAAAGAAUGUCAUUUUCCUUACUCGGAGGAUAGGAUAGAUAUUAUUGAUUAAAAGAUUGGCAAUUGGCCUGACUUUAACAGAACUGAAGAGCAAGGAACCUGGCUUUGUUUCUGUGUUUCAAAACAUUUUACCAUCCUGCAUUUUGCUCGAUGAGGUGUUAGCACCCUUUAAUUUGCACUUGGGAACAGCCCUGAAGUUUUAGAAGGAACACGGGCCAUGGACAACAGAGGCAUCGGCUUUGACCAAGGACAGAAUAGGAGUACAUUCUUUUCCAGAGAAGUGAAAACUGUGUACUGGCAUCGAAGACUAAGAACGACAUAAUCUGCAGGCAGAUAAAGAGUUUGCA
ensembl:lncRNA